rnacentral:rRNA from 1 species
AUGGGAGAUCAUCAGCUGAUGCAUGCUGCUCCGGCCAUGUACAGCGGCGGCGGUGCCGGAGCCGUGUCUCAUGGCAUGUGGUGGAACAGCAACGCGACGGCGGGGGUGCCUGCCGCGGCGUGCUCCACGGAGCUCGCCGGGUUCAACAGCUGGCCGGCCGGUCUGGCGGCUGGUGGCUACGACGUGGCGGGGGUAGACGGCGGGAAGCAGGCCAAGAGCUGCACCACCACGGCCUCCUCCGAGUCGCCCGGGAACAACAGCUCCAUAACCUUCCAAGAAACGGCCAGCAUCAACGACCCGGCAGCCGCCGGCUUCGCCGACUGGAAUAACCCUUACAUGAGCAGCGGCGCUGGUAAUAUGCAUGGGUUUCUCCAAGUUGGCCACCAUGACAUGAGCUCGAGAACGGACCCGCAGAGCAUGAUGAACGCCGUCGCCGCGCCGAACAACCUAGACCUAGCUCUACAAGGCCACCACCACCAUCAGCAGCAGCAGCAGCAGGACGAUCACCAGCGCCAGCAGCAGCUGCUGUCCAGCCUGGGGGCGCCGGAGCUGCUCCUGUCGCCCAACUCGCCGUACGGGUUCCAGUCGUCGCUGCUGAGGAGCCUCAUCGAGCCCACCGGUAAGCCAGCACCGGCAGCGGGGCUCCUGCAGCAGUAUCAGUACCAGCAGAUGGGCGGCCAGACAGGGGCCAGUGAGCCGCUCCAGUUCACCAACGACGCCGCGUUCUGGAACCAGUCUGCCGGGUUCGGCAUGGGCAUGGCAGCGCCGCCGGCGACUGACAACACUAGCGUGCGUUUGGCGAAACAACCGGCGCCGGCGCCGCGUGGGGCAAACCUUGCACUUAAGACUGUGCUAGAAGGUGUGGGAGAUUCUAGCUCAAUCGUCACCAAGAAGGCAAGCGGCGAGCCGGCGUUCAAGAAACCGAGAAUGGAGACGCCGUCGCCAUUGCCGACCUUCAAGGUUAGGAAGGAGAAGCUAGGGGACAGGAUCACAGCGCUCCAACAGCUCGUCUCUCCUUUCGGAAAGACGGAUACGGCGUCGGUGCUGCACGAGACCAUCGAGUACAUCAAGUUCCUCCACGACCAAGUUGGUGUGCUCAGCGCCCCAUACCUCAAGAGCGGCCAUCAUCAGCAUCAAGUGCCACAGUACCUCAAGAGCUCGAGCAAUGGUAGCCCCGACAAGUCGUGCAAGGACGGCGGCGAGGUGUCGCUCAAGGGCCGGGGGCUGUGCCUGGUGCCGAUAUCGAGCACCUUCGCCGUGGCCAGCGACGUGCCCGUCGACUUCUGGAACCCCUUCGGCCCCCAAUUUAGGUAG